AUGGAGCUGACCAAUUUGCUUCCCUGCAGAGUGGAUAGCUUUCUGAUGGUCUGCUUUUUGACUCCUUUGGGAAAAGAUGUGUUAACAGGAGAGAACAAUAGAGUGGAAGAGAGUCCUCUCGUUGGAGAACAUGGUGGGCACCAAAGUGUGGAAGUGUGUUCAGCCCUGUUUGCCUGCCUCUGGGUAGGACCGCUGACCUGUCCCUCAGGGAAUCGUCAAGAAGCUAAUGAGUGUUACUCGUGGCAUGAGGACUUUGCAUGUUCAUCUUCUCAGAGGCAAAGCCCAGGGACUCAAAAGACAGGACACUUCUCUGAUUGGUCCUCCUAUCUCAGAAAAGGUCGGAAAGACAGGGGCAAAGAGUCAUUCCUGUUUGCAGCAUCUGGUGGGAACAGUCUCAGGCAGACAGAGGAGAAGUCCGCCUGCUGCAGCCUGGCGAAGGGGAUGGCCCUCCCAUAGCAUCUCCCAGGAAGAGGGUGGAGGUGGAGGACGGGCCUCCUUGCCUUGAUCUCUUCUGGGCAUGUGCAGCCAAUGUCCACCCGCUGGGACCUGCCCUGUGGUGUCCAAAAGGUUUCUUGGGGCCUGGCACCAGAGUGGGUGCCCCCCUUCCUCCCUGGGGAGGCUCCCUCCACCAGUGUCGGCUGGAGUUGGUGGGUGCCUACUUCGGCCCCCUCGGGUCCCUCUUAUGAGACGGCUCAGAGGUGAGUGUGGUACUGUUCCUUUCACAGUUCCCACUGGGACCAGGCUUUCCCAGACACAAUGGCAGAUUUCUUUUCUUUUUUUUUUUUUUUU
rnacentral:lncRNA from 1 species